rnacentral:rRNA from 1 species
UGGGCGGCCGGCGCACGGUGGCGUAACGCGUAUGCAACCUACCCCACUAACAGGGGGAUAACACUGAGAAAUUGGUACUAAUACCCCAUAACAUCAGGACCGGCAUCGGUUCUGGUUGAAAACUCCGGUGGUUAUGGAUGGGCAUGCGUUGUAUUAGCUGGUUGGUGAGGUAACGGCUCACCAAGGCAACGAUACAUAGGGGGACUGAGAGGUUAACCCCCCACAUUGGUACUGAGACACGGACCAA